AGUGAACGCUGGCGGUAGGCCUAACACAUGCAAGUCGAACGGCAGCACAGGAGAGCUUGCUCUCUAGGUGGCGAGUGGCGGACGGGUGAGGAAUACAUCGGAAUCUGCCCAGUCGUGGGGGAUAACGUAGGGAAACUUACGCUAAUACCGCAUACGACCUUCGGGUGAAAGAGGGGGAUCGCAAGACCUCUCGCGAUUGGAUGAGCCGAUGUCGGAUUAGCUAGUUAGCGGGGUAAUGGCCCACCAAGGCGACGAUCCGUAGCUGGUCUGAGAGGAUGAUCAGCCACACUGGAACUGAGACACGGUCCAGACUCCUACGGGAGGCAGCAGUGGGGAAUAUUGGACAAUGGGCGCAAGCCUGAUCCAGCCAUACCGCGUGGGUGAAGAAGGCCUUCGGGUUGUAAAGCCCUUUUGUUGGGAAAGAAAUCUUUCAGGCUAAUACCCUGGGAGGAUGACGGUACACAAAGAAUAAGCACCGGCUAACUUCGUG
rnacentral:rRNA from 1 species